rnacentral:tRNA from 1413 species
GCGGGUGUAGCUCAGUUGGUUAGAGUGCCGGCCUGUCACGCCGGAGGUCGCGGGUUCGAGCCCCGUCACUCGCGCCA